ACAGGAUUUUUCGUCUCAUUUAAUUUAGAUAAUAUUUGAUUAAAGUGCCUGUAGUUAAAAGUGUUAAAAAUUUUUUAAUUAAUGAUUUAUAAAUUUAUAAUAGUACAAACAAAAAUUGUGCCAGCAGUUGCGGUUAUACAAAUUUGUACAAUUUUUUCUUUUCAAUAAUUUAAUUAAUAAUAAUAAUUUUAUAUAAUAGAAAAUGUUGGGUGAAAUCUUAUUUUUUUAUAAUUUAAUUAUUUGUUUAUGAGGUUAAGAUAUUUUGAAAUUAAACUAGGAUUAGAUACCCUACUAUUCAAGAGGUAAAUGUUAAUAGUGUUUAAGGAUUAAUAGUUAUAAUCUAUAAAAUUAAAUGAUUUGGCGGUUUUUUAUUCUAAUCAGGGGAACCUAUUCUGUAAUCGAUAGUUCACGAUUUAUUUUACUUUAAAUUUGCUUGUAUAUCGUCGUAAAUAAUUAUUUAUUGAUAAUUAUAAUUUUAAAAUAUUAAUUUAUUGAAAAUCAGAUCAAGGUGCAGUUUUUUAAAGGUUGAAAUGGGUUACAUUAAAUUUAUUUAAGGAUAAUUUUUUUAAUUAAAUUUUUGAAUUUGGAUUUGAAAGUAAAUUUAGUUUUUUACUAGUUUGAACUAGUCUCUAAAAUAUGCACAUAUCGCCCGUCACUUCUAUCUUAAGAUAGAAUAAGUCGUAACAUAGUAGUUUUACUGGAAGGUGAAUCUAG
rnacentral:ncRNA from 1 species